GGCGUGUGACUGCGUACCUUUUGUAUAAUGGGUCAGCGACUUAUAUUCUGUAGCAAGGUUAACCGAAUAGGGGAGCCGAAGGGAAACCGAGUCUUAACUGGGCGUUAAGUUGCAGGGUAUAGACCCGAAACCCGGUGAUCUAGCCAUGGGCAGGUUGAAGGUUGGGUAACACUAACUGGAGGACCGAACCGACUAAUGUUGAAAAAUUAGCGGAUGACUUGUGGCUGGGGGUGAAAGGCCAAUCAAACCGGGAGAUAGCUGGUUCUCCCCGAAAGCUAUUUAGGUAGCGCCUCGUGAAUUCAUCUCCGGGGGUAGAGCACUGUUUCGGCAAGGGGGUCAUCCCGACUUACCAACCCGAUGCAAACUGCGAAUACCGGAGAAUGUUAUCACGGGAGACACACGGCGGGUGCUAACGUCCGUCGUGAAGAGGGAAACAACCCAGACCGCCAGCUAAGGUCCCAAAGUCAUGGUUAAGUGGGAAACGAUGUGGGAAGGCCCAGACAGCCAGGAUGUUGGCUUAGAAGCAGCCAUCAUUUAAAGAAAGCGUAAUAGCUCACUGGUCGAGUCGGCCUGCGCGGAAGAUGUAACGGGGCUAAACCAUGCACCGAAGCUGCGGCAGCGACGCUGAUGCGUUGUUGGGUAGGGGAGCGUUCUGUAAGCCUGUGAAGGUGU
rnacentral:rRNA from 1 species